AGAGUUUGAUCCUGGCUCAGAGCGAACGCUGGCGGCAGGCCUAACACAUGCAAGUCGAGCGCUCUCUUCGGAGGGAGCGGCGGACGGGUGAGUAACGCGUGGGAACGUGCCCUUCUCUAUGGAAUAGCCACUGGAAACGGUGAGUAAUACCAUAUACGCCCUUCGGGGGAAAGAUUUAUCGGAGAAGGAUCGGCCCGCGUUAGAUUAGGUAGUUGGUGGGGUAAUGGCCUACCAAGCCUACGAUCUAUAGCUGGUUUUAGAGGAUGAUCAGCCACACUGGGACUGAGACACGGCCCAGACUCCUACGGGAGGCAGCAGUGGGGAAUCUUAGACAAUGGGCGCAAGCCUGAUCUAGCCAUGCCGCGUGAGUGAUGAAGGCCUUAGGGUCGUAAAGCUCUUUCGCCAGAGAUGAUAAUGACAGUAUCUGGUAAAGAAACCCCGGCUAACUCCGUGCCAGCAGCCGCGGUAAUACGGAGGGGGUUAGCGUUGUUCGGAAUUACUGGGCGUAAAGCGCACGUAGGCGGAUUAGAAAGUUAGGGGUGAAAUCCCGGGGCUCAACCUCGGAACUGCCUCUAAAACUCCUAGUCUAGAGUUCGAGAGAGGUGAGUGGAAUUCCAAGUGUAGAGGUGAAAUUCGUAGAUAUUUGGAGGAACACCAGUGGCGAAGGCGGCUCACUGGCUCGAUACUGACGCUGAGGUGCGAAAGUGUGGGGAGCAAACAGGAUUAGAUACCCUGGUAGUCCACACCGUAAACGAUGAAUGCCAGUCGUCGGGUAGUAUACUGCUCGGUGACACACCUAACGGAUUAAGCAUUCCGCCUGGGGAGUACGUCGCAAGAUUAAAACUCAAAGGAAUUGACGG
rnacentral:rRNA from 1 species